AUUGCAGUUGAACUGCUCCUGCACAUGGUCAGAAAAAGCAAAGAAGCAGGUAAGCUUCUCCCUUUCUCCGUAUCUUUUUUUUCACCAAAUCCUUCUCAUUCUCCACUGUAGAAUACACAUGGCUAGCCUAUCAGUGGUAAAUAUUGCGAUGGAAACCACCAAUUGUUUCAUAGAUUGAGUCUACUUUUUGGCACUUUUUCUCCUUCGUUACAUUUUGUGAUAUUGCGUACAAUAGAGGAGAAGAACAAAGAACUCCAGCAAGAAAGAGUUAUGGAGAAAGGGCCGCAGGAAAACAAAUACAACUAUUCAAGCAAGUCAAGGUUUUGUGAAAUCUCAGAGAACAAUGGCCAUCAAGUGUUUGGUAAAAUAUCUGUGUGAAACUUGGGAUAGCAGAGAAAACACGGAGAACCCACAAAAGUCCGUGCUGCAAUUUUCAAUGAGAUGUAUUCAUUUGAACCCCCAGGUCCGUGCUGUAUAUGAGAGGUAUAUGAUAACAAUUUUCACUUGACUUGUGGGUUCUCCGUGUGCUGUAUUCAUUUCAGUGAGAUGAAGCCAGCUCAAGAGAAGAAGCCCCAGGUUUCUACUGCUAAAGGUCAUGCUACACCCCCUGCUGCUAAGUAAAUUUUUCUCCUUUCCUCUGCUGCUUAACAUCAUAGGAAAUAAAUAAACUCUUAAAUUUUUGUUAAUUUCCAGUUCAUUGUGUUUUAUUGGAGUAACAAAACAGAACGGUUUAUGUAUUGUUGAUAACAAGAGCCUAAGAGGCAAAAUUGCUAAAAUCAUAACUAGAACCACUGUUGUCCAUUAAUUUGUUUAAUAACCUUAUUUCAUUAUUAAAGGAUAGUCAUUAUGAACUCAUUAUGAUUCAAAUUGAAAUUUAUAUUCUUACGGUGAAGGCUUGAACUUAAUAGUACCCUAUAAUAACACCCAUUGCUUUAAAGACAUAGAACUUGCAUGUUUAACCAUGGCUUUGGUACAUGUUGACUUAAGACUUCUGAGUUUCAAUUUAGUUUUGCUAAAAAUGUCAAUUUUUGGCUGAUUUUUUCUCAGGAAUUUUUGGCUUAAGACCCAAAAAUCUAUCCAUAUUGAGAUAGAAUGUACCAUUAGAUGCCUAUCAUGCAAGGAAGAAACUGGAGUUGAAGCGAGAUAAAUGUUAUUAUUUACUUUUCUAAUGCCAGAAUUAGUAAAUCAUUUACCACAAUAUAACUUCUAAUUUGCUUCAUGUAAUGGCAAAAUACGAUAGGUGUCGCUUGGGAUUUGUGGUAAAUGAUGUAACAGGGUGUUUACACGCUGCAAUUUUCAGUCCAUAUGCUUAGAAAUUGUUAUCAUAUACCGCUCUUCGCCUAGCCAGUUGAUGACCAAGGGUUACAAUGGUUUGUUUCAUCCAUGCUUUUAAUCUGGAAAAUCCAAGGACAAAAGGACAGCGAAGAACAACACUAUCAAAGCAUACACUACUGAGGUUGGAGGUCAAAUUUCGAUAGCAAUCCCAAAUGAAGAUCACAAAAGAUGUUCCCAAAUUUCAUAUCAAUGCUCAGGAUCCUUUAUGAUGGCAUUCUCCUAAAGAACUUGAUGGAGUAAAUGCAAGUUAGCAAUCUAAUCAGUGGGCAGUCAGUAUUUCAAUUUAUAGUUGUCUAGGAUAUAGCACUACUAGAAAGUUUAUGACCGCCUACUCUAUUACUUGGCAGUGGGAAAUUAGAAAAGAUGUUAAUAUUGAACAAGUGCUCAGUUUCUAAACUCUGUUAUUUUACUCAAAUGGUGAAUUUGUAUGCUUAAUUCUUCUUUCUCCCU